AUGGACGAAGAGCAAGAUCGGUUUCUGGCACUCAUGGUUCACCUAACACACAGAGAGGAACAUGAACAUGGAUGUAAUUUUACUAGCUAAAUAAAAUAAAAAUCUAGAAAUAUCACAGUAAAGGUACAAAGGGAAUCUAAUAUUCAUUCACUAAUUGCCUUAUUUACUGUUUUUCCAGAUCCAUUGUCAGUGAUGCGCAGUCUGUGUGGUUGUUUUUUGAUGAUAAAAUAUCAGUCAUUUAUCACUUGCACAGGUUAGAGAGCUGAGUAGCUCAGUCAAAACCAUACCCCUUCCUUCCAUCACUAACAACUGAGAUCAGAUGGAGGAAGUGUUUGGAAACCCUUACUUUAAAUUGAUUACCGAUAUCUGUAAUACAAAGUGUCAUUUUAUACCGUAAUGCAGUGAAUAUUUCAAAAGAACACAGUGUCUUGUAAUGUUACCAAAAUAACAUAAGAAGGAACAUCAGGCUAAAUCAUGGUCAACAAGGCCAAGAAAUGUCCUUCUGGGAAAAGAAGAAAGACUCCCUAGAAGUUAUUUUUCCAAAGCUGUAAAACACAAGAGUGAUAUUGUCGGUCAAACUGGGGCAGAUGGGGCAAAUUGGUUAAAUAAGGCAGCAGCUCUUUGCAAUCUAAGGACUCAUCAAUGCUAUCCCACUUGACAAGAGAGCUCUUUGAGCGCACAAAUUCUGCGCCUCGGGCCUUUCCCGCCGCUUAAGCACGACACAGGCAACAAAAGACACUUUGUCUGCUCUAAAAAACAGCUCCACAGACUCGUUGCCCCUAGAUGAGCAGAAGAUAGUUCUGAUGAGAAAAUCGAGGAAGAAUGACGAAAGAGGGGAGCAGCUUUCUGAAGAUCUGGAGAUCAUCCUGGGACGCCGUGGUUAGCCCUACAUUCUCCCAUUAUUAACUGGACCACCAAUGAAGUUUUUCACAAGAGUGAGUACUGUUUCCAGAAUUGCAUCAUCAAAACUUCUCCACUGCCACCUCAUCUUCCCAUAUGUACUACCUCCAUAGAGAACCCUGAACCCACUGAAACUCACAUCAUUCCCUCUGAGUAUGGAGUGUCUUAGGCAGGCUGAACGCUUAAAUCCUUGUCAGGGACGGUUGGCGCUGUUCUUCUCCUGUUUUCAGUUCUGUUACCUACCAUCCAGGAACCAAGAAUACUAAAAUGUGAAUACUAAAUACCCUGUGCGUCUCCAUCAAUCCACCGAACGAUCACUAUUCUCUGAGAUCAUUCUCCAUCCAGCCAUCAUUGUAGGCCUCAUCCAUUGGUCACUCAAUGAAGGGAAAACCUAUGUUCCAUCCACUCUCUGCAAUACUCUUCUGGACUGCACUACUGCACUCUUCUCCAGGCUCUGGACAUCCAGGCAGCCAGCAAACCCUCUCGCUCCCCAAAACCCACUACUGGUGGCCCAAUAUGGCUAGAGAAGUUGAUAAUUUAGUCCAAGGAGGCUCAUUCUGUGCCAUCAAGUGUCCCCAUCACCUGCCUCAAGGAGAACUGGUACAACUUCCCAUACCAUGCCGGCCCAGGUCCCACAUGGGAGUCGACUUUGUCACAGACCUCCCAGAGUCCGAAUCUCAUGCAUUAUCAUAGCUGUAGACAGACUAUAUUAUAAAUAUAAGGAAAUAUUACUUACCUGUCUCUCUUCCUUAGGUCUUCUUCUGUGUAGUGACAGUAUUUUUUAUUAUAUUGAUGCUUUUUUACCAGAAAUAUGAGUGCAAAUUUGGACAAUUGGUGAUGCUAGAGAGUUUGAUACAUACACCAAAUUUGCUAUGGUUAAUAUUAAGACUGUCUGUGUGUGCCAAAUGUAAUAAAUUUCCCUGAAGUAAUGGCUGCCAUAGACUUCAAGAAUGGAAAAAAAGAAGAUGAAGAAGCAGAAGAGUAAUAAGAAAUUUAACAAACACAAUAGGUGCCUAAGCACCCUUUGUGCUUGGCCCCUGUAUAUACAUAAAAAUAUAAAUGUUCUAAAACAAAAACAGUAAUUUCCAAGAUGAAGUCCCAUCUACACAUUCAGUCAAGUCACCUUUAUUUAUAUAGUGUUUUAUACUAUACAGAGAAAACAAUUUAUUUUAAGGUGUUCUUGUUACACGUUACAUGAAACAAUAAAUUCUGCAUAAUUAAAUGCAAGCAAGCCUAAACCAAACCCCAAUCCAACCUGAGUAAUUAUUACUCAGUACCAGUGGUGGUUUCUCCAUUAGGGCGACUGGCAUAACCUUAACUUGAGAAACGACUGGUGGGAACAGUGACAUCCAAUAAUAUUUAAAAACAAUUUUUAAUUUAACAACUAGAAAAACUACUUUAAUAUCUUUAUCAAAAGUGAAAAAAAAAAACAUAGAGAUAGGGACAGCUAUGCCUUUGCCAACUGAACUUGAUCGACAUCAAGGCGAAUGUUACCACAGCGCAGAUUAAUUCUAUCAUGUCAUUGAAAGAAAUACCAUUCUUUUGUCGUAGCAAUAAAGAUAAAUUACCAGUUAAAGAAUUAGGACAACCAAGACCAGAUUUAAACAUCAAACAAGUAUGUACAAAGGGUGGGAAGCCGUAUAAAUGAGGAUUUUCGAGGACGUGGUAUGAGCAGAGAAAAAGGAUAGGCUACAGGUGUCACCGACAUGCAUCAUGCAUCAAACACGACGGAGCAAUGAUGCAUAUGGAUAAUAGGGAGCAGUGUAAUAUAAGUGAGUAAUUUAAGUAAACAGUGUAAUAUAAGUGAGGAAUGUGAUAUAAAUGAGCAGUGUAAUAUAAGUGAGUUGUGGAAACAGUGAUUUUCUGUGACUUCAGUUAUUUCUUAUUAAACUGAAAUCAAAGAAUUGUGCUGAAUUGUGUUAACAUGCAUAAGGAGAGCAAGAGAUUGAUUCCUAAUGUCAGUUUAUUUUUAAUUAAUACUAUAGAAGUUCAGUUUCCUUUACAUCUUAAACUAGCCGUUAAUGUAUCAAUUGAAUGGGUGACCUUUCCUCAUUAAUCGUGCAAACAUUUGGAAGACAUUAGUAAACAGUCAAUUUUUCAUUUCCGAAUCGGUCAUGCUUAACACUUCAGUUUAAGAUUUACUGUUCUUGACCUUAUUUUCUAGCCCACUGCAUGGCCUUCUGGGUAAUUGCACAGGUCAUUGCCUUUCCAAAGAAGUAUUAUCUGGGUACAGGUGUCUGCGGUGGAUUCACAGUAAUUUUGAUGUUGUUAUCUCACAGAUCAAAAUAAUAAUAAUAAUAAUAAUAUUUUUGAUCCUAAAAGGUACAGUGGGGAAAAUAUUUAUUUGCUCCCCUGCUGAUUUUGUGAGUCUGUAAUUUUUUUUGUAAGUUUAUUAAAAAUUUUUAAUUUAAGACACAUUUCUUUGGCUAAGCAUUCAAAUAAAGCAUUUCAUAAUCUUGAACUGCAGUUAUAUCUGAUCAAAUGCACAUUACUAUUCUUUAGCUUGGGUUAAACAAAUUAAUUUUACUUGGUCGGAACAGUAGCUAUGCUAAUUAUUUCUUUUAUUGUUUCUCUAAUUAUUUGUUUCUCUGUUGUCAACUAGGAUUUACACAAGCUUCAGUCUGAAUCCAGAACGCCUGGGAAUAGAUGAUGCCAACCCCUCAGAGGACCUCAGAUGAUGCCAACACUGAAACACCAUACAGAACUACCAAAUGUUGCUAUAAGUUUGAUUUCAUCAUAUAGUAAUUGAUGUUUAUAGUGUUCAUUGUCUGUUUGAUUACAUCUUUAAUUGAUUUUUCCGUACAUUUCUUCAAAAACACAUGGAUGGUGAUCUUGCGGUCAUAGUCAGCAUUUCUCUCCCUCCAAACACGGCAAGUCGACUUAAUGCCAAAGAGCUCAGUUUUGGUCUCAUCUAACCACAGCACUUUGUCUCAAGCCUUCAAUUAAGAUGUUCUUUGGCAAACUUUAAACAGGCCUGUACAUGUGCCUUCUUGAGCAGCUGGACCUUGCUGGCGUUGCAGGAUUUCAGUCCAUUGCGACGUAGCGUGUUACCUAAUGUUUUGCUUGGUGACUGUGGUCCCAACUGCUUUAAGAUAAUUAACAAGCUACUCCCAUUUAGUUCUGGACUGAUCCCUCACUUUUCUCAUCAUCAUCCUUACCCCAUGAGGCAAGAUCUUGCGUGGAGCCCCAGACCGAGGCCAAUUGAUGGUUAUUUUGAAUUUCUUCCAUUCUGAAUAAUCCACCAAUAGUUUUCUCCUUCUAUAAUAAUAAUAAAUAAAUAAAUAAUGCUUACAUUUUGCUUAAA